AACAGUGUGGCUUAGUGGAAAGAGCCCGGUCUUGGGAGUCAGAAGUCUUGGGUUCUAAUCCCGACUCUGCCA
rfam:Ornithorhynchus anatinus chromosome 3, whole genome shotgun sequence.